rnacentral:lncRNA from 1 species
AAGCCAUUUCCCUGCUCUGAGACGUCGGACAAGUCACUCACUGCCAGGGCUGCAGUUUCCUGUCUCUAAAAGGAGUUGAUGAGCAGCUCUAGCUUCAGGGAUGUUUCCCGGACCGAGUGUGGCUUCAGAGUCAGAGAGAUGUGAGUUCAAGACCACUUGCUUAGGUGGCUUUUGUGGACAAGAUGCGACCACCUCAUGAGGAUCAAGAUGUACUCCUUGCUCUUCUCUGCACAGCAGUCUCAAAACUAGGCUACACCGUCUGUCUCCUCUGGUCACCAUUUCGAGAGGCAGCAAGGGUCUUCCUAACCCUCAGCUCCCUCUGAUUUUUGGAAUUCAGAUUUGGAUUUUGGAUGUACAUCAAGAGGCUGGCUCCAUGCAUUUUAAUUAAGCUGUCUUUUUUCAUUUAUUACUAAUACACUCCUCUUAACUAUGAUUUAUUUGUUAAACAAAGCACCAUAAGCCGUCACUUAUUCAUCUUAAUUUCAACAAAAUUAAAGUAGUCGCUGUUAGAUUGCACCUAAUUGCACUUGCAAUGAAAAGAACGGAGAUGUUAAUCAAAAUAAAUUGAAGAUAAACA